CACUAAGCCGGCGCAGGCCUUCGCAAGAUGGCGGCUGGAGGCAAGGGCAGAGGCCUUCAGAGCGUUUUCUUUUUCCCUUUCCUCCCUUCCUGCAAACAAUGUGGCUACAGUUUAACUGGAAGUGACAAACUGAGGAAACUGAGGCACUGGAAGAUGAAGGCUACAGAGGUAGAAAGUGAUGGAGGAGAUACAUCCAGAAGACUGCAUUACAAUUUCAAAUCAAAGCUGGACAAGUUUUUUUUUUUUUUUACACAGAUAUCACCAUGUUAGAAAAGUUGGACAAGUUUUGAAACCAUUCUGAACCUAUCAUUCCUGUCUUUCAAAUCCUUCCAAGGCAUCUUAUUAUUGAUUUGUUUCUAUAUUUUCCUCAUUAUUAAAGAGGUUGAGUAUCUUUUCUCUAGAGCUAGUUUGGGUUCUGAUUUUCUUCACUUUCGUGAUGGAGUCAUUUUAGAAUUGAAGGGCAUCAUAGCAACUGAGGCAGUGUUGACAUCAUCAAUGUUUUAGGAUUACAGGUAACCAUAUUUCCCAGUUUGCUUGGGACAAGGCCAGUUUGUACCUCUUGUCCUAGCAUUUUUUUUUUUUUUUUUUUUUUUGAGACAGAGUCUCGCUCUGUCACCCAGAUUGGAGUGCAGUGGCGUGAUCUCAGCUCACUGCAAUCUCCACCUCCUGGGUUCAAGUGAUUCUCCUGCCUCAGCCUCCUGAGUAGCUGGUAUUACAGGCACGCACCACCAUGCCUGGCAAAUUUUUGUAUUUUUAGUAGACACGGGGUUUCGCCAUGUUGGCCAGUCUGGUAUCAAACUCCUGACCUCAAGUGACGCCCUGGCUCGGCCUCCCACAGUGAUGGGAUUACAGGCGUGAGCCACCGUGCCUGGCCCUAGUAUAUUUUUUAAUAGCAUUGCAUUCAAUCUCAAAAGUGUGUGAGUUUUGAUGAAAAAUUAUAUGGUGGUCAUUUAUUAUCUGAAAUACACAUCAAAAUACCACUAUUGCCAUUUUGCUCUGGUAUCUUCAUCAGUGGGUGCAGGAUUGUCAUGAAGGCGGGGGGAGGUUGUUCUGCUUCCUUCUCUGUUGCAUCCCCAGAGCCCAGAACAGUGCCCAGCACCCAGUAAGUGCUUAAUGAAUAUGAAUGCAUCUGCACAUAAAUUCGUUUCUUGGGGCUUGGCACAUUGCCACUUGAACAAAUGGAUUCUAUUAACAAGGAGUAUGGAGCAAUGAUUUUGGGGUACACAACUCAUGGCGCCUGCCAAAACAUGCGCUUUAGAUUUUGAUAGAUAUCGUCAAGUUGUUCUCCGCAGGGGUUGAGCCAGUUUACACUCCCACCAGCAAUAUGUGAGAGCAUCUGUUUCUCUAACCUUCACCCACAUGGUGUUAUCAAAAUUUUUAUCUGUGCCAAUCUGGUAUUUUAAAUUUGCAUUUUCUUUAUUAUGGAAAGAUAGAGCAUACUUUCAUAUGUUUAAAAGCCAUUUGAAAUUUCUAAGAACUGUCUGUUCAUAUCCUCUGCCCAUUUUUUUUUUUUCAGUGAAUUACUGGUCUUUUUCUUAUCAAUCCAUAGGAAUACAAAUAGUUGUUCCAAGCUUUUCAUGCCUUUUGAGUUUGUUUCUGGUGUUGUUACUAAGCAGAAUUUAAAACAUGUAUUUAUAUUUAGCUUCUUUCGUUUUAUUGCAUCUAUAUUUUGCAUCAUGCUUAGAAAGGCUUUCCCAGAUUGUAAAAUAAUUCUCCCAUAUUUUCUUGUCUUACUUUCAAGUUUUCAUUUUUUUCACAUGUAAGUCUUGAUCUAUCUGAAAUUUAUUUUGGUGUAAGAUUUGAGAUAUGAAUAAAAUCUAAUAUUGUUU
ensembl:lncRNA LINC02453 long intergenic non-protein coding RNA 2453